rnacentral:rRNA from 1 species
GACGUAGGGUGCAAGCGUUGUCCGGAAUUAUUGGGCGUAAAGAGCUCGUAGGCGGUCUGUUGCGUCGGCUGUGAAAACCCGGGGCUCAACCCCGGGCCUGCAGCCGAUACGGGCAGACUAGAGUGCGGUAGGGGAGAUUGGAAUUCCUGGUGUAGCGGUGGAAUGCGCAGAUAUCAGGAGGAACACCGAUGGCGAAGGCAGAUCUCUGGGCCGUAACUGACGCUGAGGAGCGAAAGCAUGGGGAGCGAACAGG